GACGAACGCUGGCGGCGUGCUUAACACAUGCAAGUCGAACGGAAAGGCCCUGCUUUUGUGGGGUGCUCGAGUGGCGAACGGGUGAGUAACACGUGAGUAACCUGCCCUUGACUUUGGGAUAACUUCAGGAAACUGGGGCUAAUACCGGAUAGGAGCUCCUGCUGCAUGGUGGGGGUUGGAAAGUUUCGGCGGUUGGGGAUGGACUCGCGGCUUAUCAGCUUGUUGGUGGGGUAGUGGCUUACCAAGGCUUUGACGGGUAGCCGGCCUGAGUGGGUGACCGGCCACAUUGGGACUGAGAUACGGCCCAGACUCCUACGGGAGGCAGCAGUGGGGAAUAUUGCAAAAUGGGCGGAAGCCUGAUGCAGCAACGCCGCGUGCGGGAUGACGGCCUUCGGGUUGUAAACCGCUUUCGCCUGUGACGAAGCGUGAGUGACGGUAAUGGGUAAAGAAGCACAGGCUAACUACGUG
rnacentral:rRNA from 1 species